rnacentral:rRNA from 1 species
UACGUAGGUGGCAAGCGUUGUCCGGAUUUACUGGGUUUAAAGGGUGCGUAGGCGGUUUAAUAAGUCAGUCGUUAAAGACACAAGCUCAACUUGGGCGUGGCGAUUGAUACUGUUAGACUUGAAUAAUUUGGAGGUAGCUGGAAUGCGUAGUGUAGCGGUGAAAUGCUCAGAUAUUACGCAGAACACCGAUUGCGGAGGCAGGUUACUACGAAUUUAUUGACGCUGAGGCACGAAAGUGUGGGUAGCAAACAGG